rnacentral:lncRNA from 1 species
GUCUGGUAUGUGGCUAGAAAUGCAAUUCCUCCUGAUAUAUAACAUUUCUCAAGUCUAAGCCAUUUACAACUGAAUUUUGUCCCUAAUGAUCAGAAACACUUGGUAGCUAGCAGAUGGAAAGUCACAGGAUUUGUUUUCUGCUGAUCAGCAAGCAAGUUUCACUCUCAAUUUCACUCUCUCAGGCCUUCUCACUCCAUAUCUCCAUCUUAGUAGAAGCUUGCUUAGUAGAAGGAUUCAUGAAAUUUUGCUGUGUAAAGUGAACAGGAGAGGUUUCCAGGUCGGCUAGAUAAAGAGGUUUGUGCACAGAGAACUUACUACAGAGCACAGAGCUCAUGGAUGAUUCCUGUAUAAGAGGGGACAAAAGAGGAGGGGAGCCUGAUGGACUGCAGGAGGGGUAGGAGAUCCAGUGCUUGGUGCAGCCUUCAGUCCGUACUUCUGCUGGGAUGGUAAAGACUAUUGCGGCUGGUAGUGCUAAGUACAAAUGUUCAAAAAGCCCCUGGAGGAAAGCACUCUAUUGCACUUUACUUAAAGUGCUAUAAGUUAGAGCAUGCUCCAACUCAACAGACACAUGCAGGCCUCCCCACCCCCAGCCCCCCCAGUUGGGGACUGUCAGCAGUGGCUGAG